rnacentral:rRNA from 1 species
UACGUAGGAUGCUAGCGUUGUCCGGAUUUACUGGGCGUAAAGCGCGCGCAGGCGGCACUGUAAGUAAGGUGUGAAAUAUCCCUGCUCAACGGGGAGGGUGCACUUUAGACUGCAGGAGCUAGGAGGGGCGGUGGAGGAAUGGGGGGUGGAAUUGCUGGUGGUAAGCGGUGAAAUGCGUAGAGAAUCCAGCAGGAACACCCGCUGGCGAAGGCCGGCCCC